rnacentral:rRNA from 1 species
AGCCUAUGUCCUAUCAGCUUGUUGGUGAGGUAAUGGCUCACCAAGGCUAUGACGGGUAUCCGGCCUGAGAGGGUGAUCGGACACACUGGAACUGAGACACGGUCCAGACUCCUACGGGAGGCAGCAGUAGGGAAUAUUGCUCAAUGGGCGAAAGCCUGAAGCAGCAACGCCGCGUGGAGGAUGAAGGUCUUCGGAUUGUAAACUCCUUUUCUAAGAGAAGAUUAUGACGGUAUCUUAGGAAUAAGCACCGGCUAACUCCGUGCCAGCAGCCGCGGUAAUACGGAGGGUGCAAGCGUUACUCGGAAUCACUGGGCGUAAAGAGCACGUAGGCGGCCUUGCAAGUCAGAUGUGAAAUCCAACGGCUUAACCGUUGAACUGCAUUUGAAACUGCAAGGCUAGAGUAUGGGAGAGGUAGGUGGAAUUCUCGGUGUAGGGGUAAAAUCCGUAGAGAUCGAGAGGAAUACUCAUUGCGAAGGCGACCUGCUGGAACAUUACU